GGCAGAUGUGUCUCUGUGCUGUGUCUGGUGCCGGUGGCUGCAAGAGCUCUCACACCAUGGGUUUGAAGUGUGUGGUCACCACUCAGCAUCAGAGAAGAGUUAGUGUGCAGUGCUGUGUGCCUUGCUCCCCUAACCUGAAGGACAAAAGCCUACAGUGAGAAGGAUUUUUCAAAGAAGUGCAGCAGGCAAGCAGAAAAAAGAAGGGAAUUGUGGUGUUGCAGCUAUUAAUUGCAUAAUGAACAAAUGGGCUUUCCAGCAACCAACCUUUGCUUUUGUUGCCAUGGUCUAUCCUCCUUGCAGGAAAGCACUCGCUUCAGAAAGACUCUGCAGCCCUGCGGAUUGGGAAGGGCUGUUCACUGAAAAGACAAAAAAAAGUAAAAAGCAGCUGCUGAAAGUAAGAGCUAGACUAAUGUGGAGAUGAAAGCAUUUAUGCAGAGCAGAGGUGGAGAAUUUUGGAUCUGUGGAGUGGGCGGAAGUGUCCUAAUGAAUGAACAGUAUGAUGCUUGGCUGUCUCGAAUAACAAAAAGGGAAGGAGGGUGCUAGGUUUUGAUAGUACAGGCUCUGGAAAAAAUGAGAAGCUGAGAAGAGAAGGAAAUCAUGGCUAAUUUAAAACUGCCUUGGAGAAGCAGGUGGGAGGAGGACCUUGAACAUUUGCUGUACUACAAUUUGAAGCUGUUGUAGGUGGAUUGUCGACAAUGGUUGUUAUGCAAACUCUGAGCACUGGCUUCAGGAGCUUCUUGGAAACCAGCAAUGAGUAAUCUUCAUGUUUCUGCCAGGUCUACAAAGAGGGAUGGUGCAGUUUUGCCACAGGGCUGUUCAGAUUUUUUCCUCCUCUCCCCUUCCAUAUGGGGAAGAAUAAAGUGAAGAAACAACAUUUUCAGAGAAGAAAGACUUGGAAAGAGUUUUUGUUUUCUGGGAGUCUGCUACAGCUGUUAAUUUGUGGAAAACCUCAGUGGAAAGUCAGCAAUAUGGCAGCAUCACUUUACACGAGAAUCCAGUGAUGGCCCUGCUCCAAGCCCUGGCUGUUUUAGGUUGUUGGCUUGCAGAGCCAAACCUUCAUGUAGUGUCAUGCUUUUUUAUAGAUAAUGUUGAUGCAGCUGUGGAAGGCUCUGAUGUUCUUUUUUUUUUUUAACGUGGAAUUGUCGUCAUUCAAUCAAGCUUAAGUAUUGUGGAGCUGUGAUGUUGUUUGUCUUUGGUUGUUAGAUGUUGGCGGGUGAGUCCAAGACGACCUGAGAUGUUGUUUGGGAAAAAGAAAAGACUCCCUCCCUUCCUCCCUGCCUUCUCCACAGAAAUGCACACAGACCAUAACUUCCAUCCAAAAAUGCAGGAAUGCUGAGAAAAAUUGGAGCUGGGCUUGAACAUUGCGGGCUGGGCCCCCCCGCCUCUCCAAAGCACGCACGCUCUUCUCUUCCUGUAGACUUUGUUCCUCUCCAGCAUUUGUCAUGCAUAGUUGGUGGCACAUCAAGAUUUUGAAUACUGUACUGAAUGCAACAACCUCUUUUUUUUUCUUGGAUGGACAUUUUGUUUGUGGAGAAUACAGCAUGGUGCUCAGCUGUCUGGGCAGAAAUGAACAUUGAAUAAAAUGAAAUUUUCAGCUAUGUGACAGCUAGUAGAUCAGAGAUUAGUUUUCCAGUAGAAAUGUCCAAUUAUUUAAACCUCUCCAGCAGAUGAAAGAGCUUUUGACAAUCUGUUUUGCUGAAAAGCCCUGCAAUUUGUUUGGCAUAGAUUAGAUGGCCUAUUAGAGAUGAGAAAAAGGGAAAAAGAUUUAUAAUUAAUGUCAGCCCAGCCGUUAACUUGGGGAGUAUUGCUGAAUUGUAGCACAAGUCAUAUCGUCCGGCUAUUUCUGCAGUGACGAUUCAUGUGUAUAUUGCAGUGUGUGUCAGCAGCUUUCUGUGCAGCUGUGUUUGGUUGCAGGGACUAGAGUUUCCCAUUCCCAGGUAAUGCAUUAACAUGCUCGGCUGCUUCUCCAAGGCCCUGCCUCCUUUUUGAAGGCAGGCCUUUAUGAAUGGGUAAGCCCCAUGUUUUUCCAGCGCUACCUUGUCACACAAUGACUGAUCCACUCACCUCCUUAUCUCUGGGCCAUAUGACUUCGAGUGUAUCUUCCUUGCCAACUUGGCUAGGUAUCAUGUUUCUUUCCCUGAGGGUGACUUAGGGCAGAACCCUUGAAUCCCUCAGAGUUUCCUGGAGCUCCUGGAAAGAAGAGGAAAACCAGAGAUGGGCCAGAAAGAAGCAGGCAGAGAAAGAUGAAAGAAUUUGGGGGUGGGAAGUACUCGCUUUUGGAAUGAUCCUCCUCCUGGAUGGCCUAAGGCAAAGUAAUUUACACUUUUCGGCAACAUGCAGAAUUGCCCAGCCCUUACUCUUAUGAGUAAACAUUUCAAAGGUGCCUGCCGGGCCCUCUAUUUAUGUUUUUAUAAGCUACUUAGUCUCCUUUGAGUCUCAGGCUGUAUCCCCACUGCCAAUAGUGGAGUUAGCUCGAAGUGCAGUAGUGUCUCUUGGUGACACCUGAGCUAGACUGAAGCAGCUGAGCUGCUUGAAGUAGUUUACUCCACAGCAGUCCAUGUGUCAAAGCACUGUACCUGCCUGCUGCAUUAUCCUUCUUGUGCCAACUCUUGUUUCAAUUAAAAGCUUUCACUGCAACCCUA